AUGCCUCCCAUCUUCCCUCUGCAAGCCACAGGUGUCCGUACCUGUGUUUGUUUGCAUGUGGGACACUUCACUGAACAAAGCAACACCUGCUUUAGGAGGGCUGGAGCCACUGUCACGGGAGCUUUGGAGGAGAGGCCAGAGGACACGUUAGCCAGGUGUGUCCCGAGGAGAUUCCACCUCCUGCAUGGGCCUGGGUGGGGUGAUUGCUCUGCUGUCCCUCCCUUUUCCCUGAGAUCAAGGUCAAGAGGCAGGCUGGUACCACUUGGCUGGGGAGGCAAUAAGCCAUUUUCCAGCCUGUUCCAAAUGGAAGGCCUGGAUGCCGGCCAGACCACUAGCGUAUGUUGGAAUCCCUCCCUGGAGACUGGAGAAACUCGGCCAUCGUCUGCUGUGCGCCUGACUCCUUCCAGACAAAUGCUCCUGUCCUUCCUCAGGAGCAUGACCUUCUUUCAUCAUUAGCAGUGAUAUUAUUGAUAAUUAUUAUCCUUACUGUGCUCAUCUAUCGUGCAUCUUCCUUGUGCUGUGCUCUGUUUGUAUCCCAUUGACUUCUCAACCCAUCCCUGAGAGGCAGAAGUGAGGUGCAGAGAAGGGCACGUUAAUUAUCAUCCCCCCUUUUUUUCUGCUGAGAAAACUGAGGCCAGACCAGUGCGUCUGAGAACCCACAUCUAGAGAGCUGUGAUUCAGAUCCGCCGCUGCUGGCUCCCCAGGCUGGGUGGCUACCCGGCGUCUCCCUGCGUGCACGCUCUCCACCGUGAACCCUCUGGAACGGACCGACCCAGGACGGGGACUCCGAGGCUGGGGCUGUUUGGGUCCUGGAUCAAGGAUUUCAAGUGUAGGUCCUGGAAGGGGGACAGGAGCAUGUGCACAUGUUGAGCAGUCUGAGAACCUCCCAGCAGUAAAGAAGCAUUAGAGAGCCCCCAGUGAGGACCUGUAAUGUCAGGGCGGGUAAAGGGGUGGAGAACUGGCAGGUCCCCGGCUGCCUGGCCCAGGACACCAUCUCCCAGCCUGCUGGGCAGUCACCGGGGAGUGCAGGGCUGGCCCUGGGUUGCCAGCACCAGCCCCAGGACCAGCAUCGUGCUCUCUGCCAGCUGUCCCCCGGCACCCUGGGCCGUGUCCUGGCACGUGCCCUUGACGCCCCCCCCCCCAGAAUGAAUGCUAGUUGGGCUGGGUGCCCUGAUGGAACAACCAAGCAGCUGUGCUCAGGGACCCCACAGGAACAGUCAGAGUCCCAUUGUCCUGUAGUGGCCUGCCCCACCUCUCCUGCCCUGCCUGCCCCAUGGGCCUCUGGCCUCGGUCAUUCCGUGACGGGGACAUGGGACAGGCCGGCUGAGCUGAAUGCUGAGAGCCCAGAGGGACAGAGUUCAUAAUCUCCAAGCGGAAAAGAAGGAGCCCCUCCAAGAGACUCAGGUCAUCAGAAUCAAGUAGGUGGCCAGAUGUCCCCGGAAAGUCACUUCUGGGAGAUUAGACCUUGGGCAUUUUCUUGCCUCUCUUUUUUUGGGGGGCGGGGCGGUGUGUGUGACAGAGGACAAAAUAGUGCAAACCACAGUGACUGAAGAGAGGAACGAUUCCCCCAGAGUGAGAAGAGGGCAGCUGUCAGGAGCAAAAUGGAAUGGUCGAAAUGUAUGAAAAAUUGGCUCCAUAGAUUUGGGAGUGUAAGUCUGUGUUGUUUGUUUUGAGUCACUGGGAAAGUCAUAAAUUGUUUUAUCAAGAGAGAUGAUAAAAGCAGAGGGAGCCCUGGGAGAGGCAGGACAGGCUGCGCGGUACCCCAGACGUACCCCGCACCCAUCCUUCGGCCAUGGUACGGACUUGCACCUGCUGGAACUCGAGCCAGCUGCUUUCAUGAGGCUCCAUCCUCUGGCCCUGGGUCCUUCCCGCCAUCCCAGGAGGGUGGCUGAGACCUGUCCUGCCUUGGGGUUAAAUCCUGACACAUCCCCAAGGCAUAUGUGCAGGGAACUUGUGUGUUGUGGCAGUUGGGGAAAUCCAGAGCCCUUAUUCUUCACCAUGUGGCUAAGCAGCCACCAGUGAUCCCGGGGGCUGUCCCACUACGGUCUUAAGGAACGAGAGAAUCACUGCACGUCCAGUCCAAAGCAUUGUCCCAGCAAUCUGGGUGAUUCUGACCAGGGCUCUGUAUGCUGGUAGGAAGGGAGUUUCCAAACGUUCACACUUCGGGGGGACGGAGUCUCUGAGAGGUUUGUGAGAGCUUGGGCUGGUCGGCAGGAGCCCAGGGCAUCCAUGUAGCAACGUUUCUCCACCAUUAUGCCAGUGGUUCUCAAUCUUGGAAGAUUCUGUCCUUUCGGGGGAUCUUUGGCAAUGUCCGGAGACAAUUUUGGUUUUCACAACUUGGUGGGGGGUGACCUUCUACUGGCAUCUAGCGGAUAGGAGCCUGCGAUGCUGUUGAGCACCCCCAACAACACAGAAUGAAUGAACUGGCCCCAAAACACCAAUUGUGGUGAAAUGGGGAAAGCCGGCGGUGGGCAAUGCUAGCUCCAAAGCUCUACCUUUCCCCCUUUUGUGAGUCGUCGAAUGCAUCAGAGCUCUUCUGGGCAACAGCAGGGAUCCCGGCUGCAGCCCUGAGGUCAGAUAAUCCCAGCAGAGGGCAGUGGCCUGCAGCCUAGCAAGUCUUGGGUAUCCAUGGACUCCCCAUUCCCACCACCUUGGGCUCUCAAGGGGAGACUCGGCCCGGAUGGAGGAAGCCCUACAAAGCGGAUGGGAAGGCGAGGCUGAACUUGUCCCAGUAGCUGUGGUCCCUGGGACCUGGAGGGACCUGACUUCUGCUGCAUCUGAGAAGCGCUUCUUGGGGGGGGGGGGGGGCAGCAGGGAGCUUGGAAAGGAUGAGGAUGGGAGGGGCUGCCUAACAGCCUGUGGACAAACCUGCAUCUUAACCUUGUUUUUGACUCUCCAUGUGCCCCAUCCCACCCCCCCACCCCUGAUUGAAGGCAUAGUCACACUUUCUACUAUUUAAAGUUUUGCAGAAACCGUAUUGUAACGAGCCGCUCUCCAGACACCAGUUCUUCACGCAGAGAGAAUCAGAAACGUUUCUGUGUCUUACUAAUGUUUUCAUAAUCAACUUGUAAGUAGUUUACUUAAUUAAAAAAAAAAGGUAUUUUAACUAUUCUUGUAACCCUUUGCUACUCAACACCCCCCACCCCCAGUUUUGCGAUGAGAUCACUAACUUUUACUACAGUGAAAAGACGAUUUCUUAAUGGAGGGCUUCAAGGCGCUCUUUGGUGAAAAAUAUCUAACCUUGAUGGAUGUAAAAAUGUGGCUGUGGAGUCGUGUCCGUUGUCAGCACUAUUGCUUUUGUCUUUUUCUAUUAUGAUCAUUAAACACAAAAACCAAAAACAUUACCUCCUAAGUGUCUGAAUCCAAC
rnacentral:lncRNA from 1 species